rnacentral:rRNA from 2 species
GGUAACACUAACUGGAGGACCGAACCGACUAAUGUUGAAAAAUUAGCGGAUGACCUGUGGCUGGGGGUGAAAGGCCAAUCAAACCGGGAGAUAGCUGGUUCUCCCCGAAAGCUAUUUAGGUAGCGCCUCGUGAAUUCAUCUCCGGGGGUAGAGCACUGUUUCGGCUAGGGGGCCAUCCCGGCUUACCAACCCGAUGCAAACUGCGAAUACCGGAGAAUGUUAUCACGGGAGACACACGGCGGGUGCUAACGUCCGUCGUGAAGAGGGAAACAACCCAGACCGCCAGCUAAGGUCCCAAAGUCAUGGUUAAGUGGGAAACGAUGUGGGAAGGCCCAGACAGCCAGGAUGUUGGCUUAGAAGCAGCCAUCAUUUAAAGAAAGCGUAAUAGCUCACUGGUCGAGUCGGCCUGCGCGGAAGAUGUAACGGGGCUAAACCAUGCACCGAAGCUGCGGCAGCGACACUGUGUGUUGUUGGGUAGGGGAGCGUUCUGUAAGCCUGUGAAGGUGUGUCGUGAGGC